GUUUAGUUUUAUCUAGGAAUGGUUUGAUAAUUAUGAAAUUUUGUUCAAAGAUUUAUGAAGUGGACUACAGAUUGGAGCAAAAUUCCAGAUAACCUGUGCGUAUGAUUGUUCAAAAGCAAGUUCUGCAGCAUCAGGUGAUGGAAGCUCCAUCAAUUUCAGUACAGGAAUACAAUAACAUCGGUGGACUGAUAUCCAGGACCAAAAUUAAGAUAAUCAAAGAAGAGAGAACCAGGAGGAGUGUUAGAAGCUUUGAGAAGAAAGAAGAUGUACUGAACAAGUUAUCCAUGGACCUACAAGGUCAAAAUGAACUGCACAAAAAUAAAAUACACCUGGAACUAUGAAUUUUCUUCUCUGGACUCCAAGCUGUGAAUUUCUAAGAUAUGUUAGUACAUAAUGACUGAAAAUAUUGCUAAUGGCUACAGGAUAUUCCAUUUCUAUAUUAUUAAUUUUGAGUUUUAUUUUUACUUUUACUAUAUAAUGACUUCCCUGUGACUCUUUUUAUUAUAUUUCUUGUACUUUCAACUUUGUUGUCCCAGCAUACAGUGAGCUUUCCAGUAGAUAAUUUCUCUGCAACUUUUAGUGUCUUGGUGUUUGUAGACUUUAUAAUAUUUAUCAAAAUGAUGAAUGUUUAGAAAUGUUAACCUCUCCGUAAGUGAGAAAAAAUAGAUUUCUACUUACAGUAAAGACGACAUGUUGAGCUGGAGACAGGCCCACUGGAAAGACAGUUACACAUUAGCUUUUGCCAAAGCCUUCUUCAGAAAAGAAAACACACACAUAUUCAUCCACACAAGCAAGAAUGCCUCACACACACACUCAGUCUGGUCUGAAAUGCCAGAAAUAGCAAUCGUGUGUGUGUGUGUGUGUGUGUGUGUGUGUGUGUGUGUGUGUGUGUGUGUACACGUUUUUCCUUUUCUGCAGAAGGUUUUGGCCGAAAGCUAAAGUGUAACUGCCUUUUCAUUGGGCUUGCCAGCAGCUCAAUGUCUCAUCUUCACAACAUCUUUCAUAACUAUAGUCAGUGAAUAGUACCUUAAUGAAUGAAAUCCAUUUCUCUGGCCCUUCUAUACAUAGGACUCAACAUUUGCAACUAUGAAAUCAAUGAACAAGUGAGAAGAUUCUCUCUUACUCUAGUGAAACUUCGAAAAUUAUCAUAGAAAGCAACCAUAGACUGUAAGUAACAUUGAAAGCUGUGCUUUGAUAACUUCCUGUUUAAAGUUAGCUUUUUUCUGGAAAUGUAGCAGCACUCUAUCCAAAAAUUUUAUAAACAUCUUGUAU